rnacentral:rRNA from 1 species
CAACCCUUGUCAUUAGUUGCCAUCAUUUGGUUGGGCACUCUAAUGAGACUGCCGGUGACAAACCGGAGGAAGGUGGGGAUGACGUCAAGUCCUCAUGGCCCUUAUGGGUAGGGCUUCACACGUCAUACAAUGGUCGGUACAGAGGGUUGCCAACCCGCAGGGGGAGCGUAAUCCCACAAAGCCGAUCGUAGUCCGGAUCGCAGUCUGCAACUCGACUGCGUGAAGUCGGAAUCGCUAGUAAUCGUGGAUCAGCAUGUCACGGUGAAUACGUUCCCGGGUCUU